GACGAACGCUGGCGGCGUGCUUAACACAUGCAAGUCGAGCGGUAAGGCCCUUUCGGGGGUACACGAGCGGCGAACGGGUGAGUAACACGUGGGUGACCUGCCCUCAGCUCUGGGAUAAGCCUGGGAAACCGGGUCUAAUACUGGAUAUGACUCCAUGACGCAUGUUGUGGGGUGGAAAGCCUUGUGCGGCUGAGGAUGGGCCCGCGGCCUAUCAGCUUGUUGGUGGGGUGANGGCCUACCAAGGCGACGACGGGUAGCCGGCCUGAGAGGGCGACCGGCCACACUGGGACUGAGACACGGCCCAGACCCCUACGGGA
rnacentral:rRNA from 1 species